AGAGUUUGAUCCUGGCUCAGGAUGAACGCUAGCGGCAGGCUUAACACAUGCAAGUCGAGGGGCAGCGGGUGUAGCAAUACAUGCCGGCGACCGGCGCACGGGUGCGUAACACGUAUGCAACCUACCUAUAACUGGAGGAUAGCCCCGAGAAAUCGGGAUUAAUACUCCAUAACAUUGCGGAAUGGCAUCAUUCUGCAAUUAAAGCUCCGGCGGUUAUAGAUGGACAUGCGCGGUAUUAGUUUGUUGGUGAGGUAACGGCUCACCAAGACUACGAUACCUAGGGGUUCUGAGAGGAUUAACCCCCACACUGGUACUGGGACACGGACCAGACUCCUACGGGAGGCAGCAGUGAGGAAUAUUGGUCAAUGGGCGCAAGCCUGAACCAGCCAUGCCGCGUGAAGGAUGACGGCCCUAUGGGUUGUAAACUUCUUUUGUACGGGAAAAAACCUUCGGUCGUGUACCGGAGUUGAUGGUACCGUAAGAAUAAGGAUCGGCUAACUCCGUGCCAGCAGCCGCGGUAAUACGGAGGAUCCAAGCGUUAUCCGGAUUUAUUGGGUUUAAAGGGUGCGUAGGCGGGAUGAUAAGUCAGUGGUGAAAUCCUACAGCUUAACUGUAGAACUGCCAUUGAUACUGUCAACCUUGAGUACAUUUGAAGUGGGCGGAAUGUGUGGUGUAGCGGUGAAAUGCUUAGAUAUCACACAGAACACCGAUAGCGAAGGCAGCUCACUAAACUGUAACUGACGCUGAGGCACGAAAGCGUGGGGAGCAAACAGGAUUAGAUACCCUGGUAGUCCACGCUGUAAACGAUGAUCACUCGAUGUGUGCGAUACACUGUACGCGUCUGAGCGAAAGCAUUAAGUGAUCCACCUGGGGAGUACGAUCGCAAGAUUGAAACUCAAAGGAAUUGACGGGGGCCCGCACAAGCGGAGGAGCAUGUGGUUUAAUUCGAUGAUACGCGAGGAACCUUACCUGGGCUUGAACGUAUGACGACGUUCCGUGAAAGCGGAAUUCCCUUCGGGGCGUCUUACGUGGUGCUGCAUGGCUGUCGUCAGCUCGUGCCGUGAGGUGUUGGGUUAAGUCCCGUAACGAGCGCAACCCCUAUUCUUAGUUGCCAUCAGGUAAUGCUGGGGACUCUAAGAAAACUGCCUACGCAAGUAGAGAGGAAGGUGGGGAUGACGUCAAGUCAGCACGGCCCUUACGUCCAGGGCUACACACGUGCUACAAUGGUUGGUACAGAGGGUCGCUACCUGGUGACAGGAUGCUAAUCUCUAAAACCAAUCUCAGUUCGGAUCGAAGUCUGCAACUCGACUUCGUGAAGUUGGAUUCGCUAGUAAUCGGAUAUCAGCAAUGAUCCGGUGAAUACGUUCCCGGGCCUUGUACACACCGCCCGUCAAGCCAUGGGAGCUGAGGGUACCUAAAGUCCGUAACCGCAAGGAGCGGCCUAGGGUAAAACCAGUGACUGGGGCUAAGUCGUAACAAGGUAACC
rnacentral:rRNA from 1 species